UAAGUUCUUAUUGGUCGACAUGUAUAGAUCUUGAUUUCGGUAAAUUGUGUUAGCUCAAAUUCAUGGACUAUAUGUAGAUUGUGAAAUCUGAAUUUUGGAGCAUGUUUUAUAAAUUAAGUAGAUUAUACAUGUUGGACUUGGAAAUUGAAUUAGGAGAAAACCUGCGAUUUGGACCUGUCACCAGUUUUAACUACCUGAUUUAGCUCUAGGAGCCGUUAGAAAAUUGUACUGUCGCAGUUUCUUCGAGACGAGUACUCCAGGUAGUUUAGAAUGUAUUUACACUCGUGCUGGUUCGCCGAGUGGAUUUUUACAGGGUCGUUCAGGUCGUUUCGGACUGUUGGGUGCCGUCAGAGUUGACGGUGGACCCGUAUCGCCUUUUUGGCGUCAGAUUGUGCCGAGGGCACGUUACCUGUUGGUUGUUAGACCAGUUUGAGUCGAUUACUUGACUUUGGCUAGUUGGAGCCUGAUUGAGCUCGACAGAGAUACGCUGCAUACUCGGUUGGGUAGCGCCCACGAGUGCCACUCCGGAGUCAGGCUUGUGCUUUUGCGUUGGUGUCGCUCAUGCCAGUUGGACUUGCUCUCCACGGACCAGUUAGAGUGGAUAGAGCCCGAUAGUCGCAACGGGGCAGGGACGGGUGUAUUCACAGUCCCGGGGACGGGUAUGCUUACAGUCCCGAUUGGAUUGGGUCAGAUUUGACAUUUCCUACAGUUGGUUAGUGUAGAGCAUGAUAGUGUAGUGGAUGAUAGCGGUAGAGUAUGCUUCCUGCUUUCCUUCUAUCCUUGCUCCCUUCUGUAGACUUAGUGGGUGACCGAUGUUGUUUUGGGCGGUACCCACUGAGGACUACUUGUUUUUACAGUAGUUCUCACGCCCAGUUGUUACCUAUGUUUUUGCAGAGCCACAGGUUCCGGCUGCUGCACCGUCUGCGGACCAGGAUCGAGGCAAGGGCGUCGCGAGUUAGAGCCCUACCCGACGUGCUGAGCUAGAGGUGCCCUACUGCAGGUAGAUGUUUUGUUUCGAGUUUAUGUACAUAGUUGACUUAACUCGCCAGUGCGAGUAGCUCUGUAUUUUAGAUCUGAACUAUGUAUAUGAAACUCUGUUUUAUUUAGCUUCAGUUUUCUCUAGCAGCUCUCUACUACUGUUCGUAGUAGUGUUUGAUUUACAAGUACAGCUAUCGCUUCGUAUACAGGAAAAAUUUUUUUGUAUACGGCGGAUUUGUCGGCGUGCCCGGGAAACGUGUAAUCCGGGACGUGACAAUAUAAUGGAGAGAGAAUGAAACAUUGGAUACCCAACGUUUCCAACAUCCCACUUAAUUCAUGCCUUUAUGUGGCAUAAAGAAGAAAUAAAUUUAAUUUAAUUAAUCUAAUUAAUUAACAUAAUAAAAGAUAAUAAAUGAGAAUAAUUAUAAAAUUAAAUGAUAUUUAGAGAUUUUGGAUUUUCUCCAACAAUUUGUUAUAGAAAUAUCCAACCUUAUAUAUUCAUUCAUCAUAGGUUUAAUAUCCGAUAUGGGACUAUUCUUAAUCUCGAGAUGUUAUAAAAGACUAUAUUUUUAAUAUCCGAUAUGGGACUAUUCUUAAUCUCGAGAUGUUAUAAAAGACUAUAUUUUUACUGGAUAGAAAGUAACAAUAGGAUAUUCAAAGGAAAUUCCAAUUGUAGUGUCACGCCCCGGAUUAUUCGUUUUUUCGAGCACGCCAACAGACUCGCCGUAUACAUAGAAAUUUUUCCUGUAUACGAAGCGAAGCCGUACUGAAUCUGUAAAUAAACAACACUACAACCAGUAGUAUAGAGCUGCUAGAAGAACCGGUAUAUAAUAAAAAUGGAUCAGUAGAUACACAGUAUCCUGAUACAAAGCACUUGCUCCAGCGAGUUAUAACAUCAGUAUGUAAUGAACCAAAAACUACAACUACCUGUAGCUGGUGCUCCACUAACUCGUCAGCUCGUCUGGUAGGGCUCUAAUUCGCAACGCCUUUGCCACGAUCAGUCUCAGAGAGUGCAACAGCCGGAAUAGCAGGCUCUGUAAAAGAGAGGUAACAACAGGGCGUGAGAACUACUGUAAAAAUAAGUAGUCCUCAAUGGGUGCCGCCCUCAAUAUCAUUGGUCCGCCCACUAAGUCUAUAGAAGUAAGCAGAGAUAGUAGAAAAUGCUGGAAUAAAUCUAUAGCUAAAUGCCACUACACUAUCAUGCUCUAAAACUAACUAUCUGUAGAAAAUAAAUUCUGACACAAUCUCACUAGGAACUGUAAGCAUACCCGUCCCAGGGACUGUAAACACACCCGUCCCGCAUGUUGAAGCUAAAGCUACCUCCACCACUAAGCAGUCCGUGGAAAGCAAGUCCAACCAGAACAUAACGACACCAACGCAAACGCGCAAAACCCGACUCCGGAGUGGCACUCGUGGGCGCUACCCAACCGAGUAUGCAAGCGUAUCUCUGUCGAGCUCAAUCAGAUUCUUGCAGGCUAUAGUCAAGUAAACAGGGUCUAACUGGUCUAACAACCGAAACACACGUGCUCUCGGCACAAUCUGAUACUACAUCAGUAAUCUGGGUCCACCGUCAACCUCAACAGCACCCAACAGUCCGGAACAGUCUGAACAGUAAAAGUAGGCUCGGCAUCCCAGCACGAGCGUAACUGCACUCUAAACUACCUGAGGUAUCCACCGCUCUGAAACUGCGAUGAUACAAUCGAACCACGGCUCCUAGAGCUAAAUAUGAUAGUUUAAGCAUAUGACGGGUAAAAUCGCGAUUUUCUCCUAAGUCUCAUCCAAGUCCAACAUGUAUAAAUGUUCUAAAAUUGCUACUUGAUGCUCCAAACUCAGAUUCUACAUAUAGGCAUGCAAUUCACAAGUUCGAGCUAAACAAACAAGAUAUACGAAGAUCAUCAAUACAUGCUGUCAACUAGGCUUAGAAGAGAAGUCCGAUGAUUAACCCACCUCGAAAGCUACUCCAAAACCGGCACGACGUCGAGAACGGCGGUAUCACACCCUCUCCCAGCCUCCCCGCGACGCUACUACGACGAACGUGCACUUGAACGGCACCGCGGCGCGACGUCGGCGACAAUCCAACACCACCCGAGCUCCUCCACCACGUACGAUCCAAGCUAGAGAGAGAGAGGAGAAUAAGAACAGUGAGAAGCUCCCUCUCAGCUCUCUCACACGUAUAAGGAGUGGGAGAGAGGGUGACACAAAUGAGGCAAGAAAAGACUAAUUUGCCCUCUCACCUACCCUGAUGUACCGGUAUAUGAGCGUUUGUACCGGUACAAAUGGCAACCCGAGUGCAGCUGCGCGGAAACAGGCGAAGUGUAUCGGUACACCCCCAAUGUUGUACCGGUACAGAAAAUGCACCGGUACACUUCUGAUGUUGUACUGGUACAACAAGCAGAAAAUCUGCAAUUUGCAGAUUCCAAAGCUAACUCCUGCUCUCGCGUCCCCACUGAGUUUGUUUUGCGUCUAUUUCGCGCCAAACGCAACUCGGACUUGUCCCGACACUCUCACGACGUGUCGAUAAGCCUCAACCGUUGUACACCAGGGAUACUACAUGUAGAGUCUUUUUACUUGAAAAAAAUCAAUCCUUUUGUAUCUCUAUAGGCUGAUAAUCUUAUCGCAGUUAAGAAAAAGAGAGAGUAUAUAUAGAUGGAGACUUAAAAGAAGAAAGAGUGUAUUGACAGCUCCACCAGAUUAUCAGCAACUGUAAAAUAAUAAGUAUUUUGAAUGUUGGCAGGAAAAGAAUUAAUGGGGAUAUAAUUAGCUUUUCACAAUAGUUUAAUUUUUUUCUAGUUUCAGCUGGAUUGUGAGCUAUCUAAUGGUAUGUUAUAUGUUGCGAUGUUGGAUAUAUACAUGUGGUUUGCCCUUUAUUUAUUUACUCUGUGUACGUUGUAGUAUGUAAUAGUUUGCAAAAAAAAUUGGUUGAGAGUAAUUUUAUCUUCAGUUUUUACUAUAUAAAUAUAUAUAUAAAACUAUGGUACUAUACUAUUAAUAGCACCAAGUAAUUGCUGCUAUUAAAUUUUUAGUCUUAGAUAAAAGGAUGUGUGAUUAGGAGAUAGUGGUCCUUUAGAUAUUGUUUGGUUUGGAUAUAAGAAAGAACUGUCAAUUUCAGAAAUAGGUAUAAAUUCAAGUAUAAGUAAGAAUUAGACCAAUUUUGUGUUUGGUUGAAAAAUGGAUUGUUCCCGGAGAUAAGAAAAAUAACGUUUGGAUAGAUAAGAUAAAAUAAAAAGAAGAGUGGAUAGUUAAAUAAAAAAUAAUAAUUUUACCACUCUCAUUAUAUUUGAAUUUGAAUUUUCAAAUUUUAUAUUUAUAUUUUUUAGUUUAAAAUUUUAACAUUUAAAUUUCAAAUUUUGAAACUAAAAUUCAAAAUUUAAAAUCUCAAACUUUAAAUUCAAAAUCAUAAAUUUUAAAUUCCAAACUUUAUAUUUAAGAUCAAAUUUAAAUUUAAAAAUAUAAAAUAUAAAAUUUUAAAUUUUAAAAAUUUAAAAUAUUAAAAUUUAAAUUUAAAUUUUAAAAUUUAGAAUCUAAGAUUAUAAACUUUAAUUUAGAGAUUACAAAAUAUAAAUUUUAAAAAUUUAAAUUUAAAUUUUUAAAUUUUAAAAUUUAAAAAUUUUAUGUAGUGUUUCUGAGCUUUGGAUAGGAUUNAAUUUAAAAUUAUAAACUUUAAUUUUGAGAUUACAAAUUAUAAAUUUUAAAAAUUUAAAGUUUAAAUUUUAAAAUAAGAAUAGGGGUGGCAACAAUUAAUACAAAUAAUUUAUUAUAAUAUUUAAAUAUAAUUUAUUAUAAUAUUUAAAUAUAAAUGAUACGUACUAAUAUAUUGCAUUUAAUAAUUUUAUUAUAAAAAUAAUAUAUUAUAAUAUAUAACAUAUUAUAUUUAUAUAAUUUAUUUUUAAUUUAAUUUAUAAUUUUAAUAAAGUUUGAAAUUAAAAUUAGAAUAGCAGUAUUCUACCAAUGGUGAAAUAGUAAAUUUCAAACUAUUUCGGGAUAGCCGAGAAUAGCAGGGUUUGACCGGAAUAAAAUAUUCCGGCCAAAAAUCAUCCCGUUUGGUAGAAUAGCGGAGAUAAUUUUUGUAGUAUCCUAGGGAUUUGUUGCCCGUGAGAUUUUAGCAUCUGAGACUUGUGGACACAUCUAGAGAGUGUUGAGACAAGUCCGAGUCGUUUGGGCGCGAAAUGGACGCAAUACGGACUCAGUGCGAUGCGAGAGCAGAGUCGUGGCACAGAAAUCUGCAAAGUGCAUGUUUCAGAAUUUAGUACCGGUACCACGCAGGGGAGUACCGGUACCCCAGUGCGUUGGCAGAACAGUCUGCUCUCGGGUUGCGCCUAACUGAUGCUGAGUACCGGUACUGCAUCGGGUCAGUACAGGUACCGAGGCCGAGUACCGGUACUGCAUCGGAUGAGUACCAGUACCCAAUGUGCGAAGCUGCGGGCUGAAAGCCCGAGUACCGGUAACCAAAUCUGGUACCGGUACUCUAGUUGGACUUUUGAGUCGGUAAAGGGCAUCUCGGUCUCACCCACCUCUUUAUAUGCUCACAGAGAGAGAGAGUUUGUGAGUCCUUCUCCAUUCCUUCUCUCUUUCGUUGGUGGACCCGUACGUGCUGGAGGACGCGGUUUGAGCUCGGAUCGACGUCAACGUUGCGCCGGAGAGCCGUUCGAGCGAGUAGGCGUCGCGGUUGCGUCGUUGGAGGCUGGGCGAGCGCGGGUUUUCCAUUUUUUUCGACUUCUUGCUGUUGUUGGACGAGCGUUUUGAGGUGGGUUGAAGUUUACCAAAAUCGUCGGAUUUCUUCCUAAGCCUAGUUGUUGUCAGCAUGUAAACUUCAUGUAUAGUAUUAUGUUAUAUGCUCGAUUCGCCGAUUUGCAUGGUUUUUAUGUGGAAUCUGAAUUGGUGCUUCUUUAAAUACUAGAAUUAUUUUCAUGUUGGACUUGGAAUUGACUUAGGACAAAACUAUUGAAUUUACACUAUCAUUUCUGAAAACUACUAGAUUUUGUUUUAGGAGCUGUAGUUUACUUAUAUCGUCACUGUUUGUAGGCGGUGGAUACCCAAAAUAGUGUAGGAUGAGUUUACGCUCGAGCUGGGAUGCCGAGUUUAUUUUACAGUAGUAUGUAGACUGUUUUGAACUGUUGGGUGCUGACUCGGUUCACGGUGGACUCAGAUUUCUGUUUUGCAUCAGAUUGUGUCAGGGGCAAUUGUGAGUUGGUUGGUAGACCAGUUAGACAUUUUUCUUUGACUAUAGCCUGUGAGAGUUUGAUUGAGCUCGACAGAGACACGCUUGCAUACUCGGUUGGGUAGCGCCCCGGAGUGCCACUCCGAAGUCGGGUUUUGUGCGUUCGCGUAGCUGUCGUAGGGUCCGGUGGGACUUGCUCUUCACCAACUACCUAGUGUGGAGGUGGUUGGUGACGCUUUAGCAGGUAGGACGGGUACGUUCACAGUCCUUAGUGAGAUUGGGUUAUAGAUUGCAUGUUGCCUAUAUCUACAGAUAGCUAUUGUUGAUUAGCGAUAGUAUAGUGUGUAAGUUUUAAGGAGCCCAAAGAUCUAUCUAGAUUGUAUCAAACACCUAGAGGGGGGUAAAUAGGUGUAAAAGCCAAAAAUCGCAAAUCUCAAUGCGAUAAAAAUAAAUGCGAAAAAUAAAAAUCACACCGAGAUUUACGUGAAAAAACUCCAACUUGGAGUAAAAAACCCACGGGACCAACACGUAAAAAAAUAAUUCACUAAGAGAAAAUAUUACAAGGUGAUUACCGACUCUACGGACUCGACCUCUCUUGACCUCCUAUGAAUCUUCGCGCUACCCUCCGGGUUGUCCACGCCCUCACGUUCGAAUCCACGAACGCUACAUUCCGAAUCCACGAAACGCCUCCACUUCGAAUCCACGAAGCUUUCGAUCCGAAUCCUCGAACCGCCUUCAAUCACACCGAAUCCACAACGCUAUCCAUGAAGAACAUCAUGAAUAUGGUAAUCCCUCGCUUAGAGUAUCGAUGAAAACCAGAGAAGAGAACUCUAAGCGAAGAGUAGAUCAAAUCGACAUAUAGAUAUCACAUUACAAUAUCUCGAUUUGACCUAGAAGAGGCUUCUUUGUAGAAAAUAGGUUUUUGACGAAAAACAAGCCUUCAGGGUUUCUCAAACAUGAAUUCUCGUGAUGCUUCAUCAGUUAGAGAACCCCAAUAGCUUAUUUAUAGACUUUAGAAUCAAUUGGAGUCGGAUUAGAAAGUUUUCGGAUUUUUUACAUUGUGUACCGGUACAAAAUUAAGGUGUUACCUGUUACACGAUGACAGAACAGAAAACAAUAAGCCUCGAAACCGGUUACAUGUUGAUGGUUGUACCGGAACAUGUUUUGUACCGGUACACUUCCGAUGUUGUAUCGGUACACAGUGCAUUUUCCAGAAUUUGCACUGUUUCGGGUUUCACAUAGCUCCGAGGCACUUUCUAAUCCAUUAAACUUUGAUAUUCAUGAUUCUAACAUCUAUAACUAAGUAUAAAUCACCAUAACAUGAAAUAAAACUUUACCUGAGUAUCGUGAUUCACGUCGUGUCACGCCCCGGAGUGCACAGUCCCCCGGGCACGCCGACAAAUCCGCCGUAUACAAGAGAAUUUCUCCGGUAUACGAAGCGUAGCUGUACCUGUAUAAACAUACAAUACUACAAGCAGUAGUAUAGAGCUGAAGUAAACUAUAAACAAGAAGGUAGAAAUAACAAACUUUAAGCAUACAACAGCCACGGAUAUAAAAGAACACUACUCGCUCCAGCGAGUUCAACUGUAAGAACAAAAGCGCCCGAACAAAAACUGUCACUACCUGCAGCGGGAGUCCUCUAGCACUGUACUCGAAGGGCAGGCUCUAGCUCGCCACGCCUUUCCCGCGGUCCGCCUCAGAAGGAGCAGCAGCCGAAACAGAAGGCCCUGCAACAACGGUGGAAGAAAGAGGGCGUGAGAACUACUAUAAAAACAAGUAGUCCUCAGUGGGUGCCGUCCUAAACAACAUCGGUCCACCCACUAAGUCUACAGGGUAAGCAAGAUAGAAGAAAAUGAAGCUGGAAACUCUCUACAGCUACAAGUCGCUAUGCUAUCAUGCCCAGAACUAACACCUAUAGACUCAAGUCAACCAGACCCAAUCUGAAGGGGACCGCGAACGCACCCGUCCCUGGGACUGUGAACGCACCCGUCCCGUGCCCGGUUGUGACUGCACAGCUACCCCCACUCUAAACCUCAGUGGAGAGCAAGUCUAACCUGCACUACCCGACACCGACGCGAAAGCACAAAGCCUAACUCCGGAGUGGCACUCGGGGGAGCUACCCAGCCGAGUAUGCAGCGUAGCUCUGUCGAGCUCAAUCAGGCCCUAACCAGCCAAACCCAAGUAACCAAAACAGACUUUGGGGCCCACCGCCUGCCCCGACGGCGCCCGACACCCCGUAACAGUCUACACUCAGCUAGUAUAAGCUCGGCGUCCCAGCACGAGCACAAACACAAGCUACACUACCCUGGGUAUCCAUCGCACAUAGCCCGCGACGAUACAAUGCAACAUGGCUCCUAGAGCUAAAUCCGGCAGUGUAUGUAAAUGACGAUCAACUCGGGAUUUUCUCCUAAGUCAAAUCCAAGUCCAACAAGUAUCAAUUAUCAUUACUCACUAAGCAUGCUCCCAAUUCAGGUUUUUAAUAUACUAAUCCAUGAAUUUGAGCUACCUCGUUUAGUGUUCAACGAACAAAGCAUACAAGUCGACUAAUAUGUACUUAGAGGCAAAACCGAUGAACCCACCUCUCUCAAGCAACUCCUGGCAGCGAAGAAAGUGGCCCGGAUUCAAAUUGAUCCCUCGCUGGUCCGUCGAAGUCCCCGGUUCCCCUGCUGCGAAGAGGUAAACCCAAUUACACUCAAAAUCACAAAAUCUGCCCAGAAAACAGCAGCGAAGAAAGCGUUAAAUCCGACCAAGCUAACCUUAUCCAAAUUCAGCAAACAAGGGUUCUGAAGCUUCGUCUCGAAGUCACGGAUCCAAUGGCCCAGGUUUCGCUGAAUUCCGACGCUCCUACGCAGAGAACGGGCCAGAAUACGAAACGUCGACGCUGGAACCUGCGAAACAGUAUCUCUGAAAUCUGCUCGGCAAACAGCAGCCUAGUAAAACUAGGGUUCGACAGGGCAAACCUGCUCCAAAAAUCACGAUCUUGGGCUCAGAAUCUUCGUCUCAAAGUCGCGAAUCUAGCACGCCAAAUUUCGUCGCGUUCCGACACUCCUACACAGAGAACUAGGUAAAACACGGCGGGUCGAUGCUGGAAUCAGCAAUCAGCACUUCAGAGUCUGCUCGGCAAACAGCAACUCAGUAAAAAGGGAUUUCGACAGAGCAAACCUUCUCCAAAUCGGGCGAGUAAGGAUCCUAUGAAUUCGUCUCGAAGUCUCGGUUCCAACGAAUCAAACCGCGUCACGUUCCGAUGCUCCUGCGCGGAAUACGAGUCAAAGCUCUGCGGGUCGACGCUGGAAUCAACAGCAGCAGCAGUGCAGUUCGAAAAUCGUAGAAGUUUAAAGCCAAAAAAAAAAAAGCGAUCUCGAGGAACCACUCACCUCGACAAACCCUCCCUGCGAGCAGCACCUCGUCGAAAACUCGCUCGAUCCGCUACGCGGCGCGUCGUCGACGAAGCUCGAGCUUCUCUUGAGCUCCUCCAACACUCUAGGUUGCUAAGGGAAGUAAAAGGAGAGGAAGAAGAAGCACAGCAACAGCAGCAGCAUGAAGGAGCUCCCCUCUCUCUCUCCUCUCUGCUCCAAGAUAAGGGUUAAAGGGGGGUGAUGUGACAAGAUGGCCAAAAAGUCAACUUGCACCCUGCUUCCACUUUGUACCGGUACAGCUCACUGAAAAUCUGCUAUUUCGCAGAUCUUCAAGAUACCCGCUGCUCUCAAGUUCCCACAAGGCCCGUUUGGCGUCCACUUCGCGCCAACGCGACCCGGACUUGUCCUGACACUCUCCAGAGCUGUCGACAAGCCUCAGCUAAAAUUCUAGGUCUCUACACGUCGUGAGAUAUUUCAGCUUUCCUCGAAAUCUUGGAUUCUUCGUUCUUCGACGAUACGCAUCGAUCCUUCAAGAUUUCGACUCAAUUCACGAAACUUGCCAACACACAAGACUUAACAUAGUGGCAUGUAGCUGUAGAGUUUUUCAGCUUCCUUUACUAUCUUUGAGCAUACUUUCUGUAGACUUAGCGGGUGAGCCGUUUAGGUCUGUAGCGCUACCAACUGAGGACUACUUCUUUUUGCAGUAGUUCUCACACCCAGUUGUUGACCCCUUUUUGCAAAGCCUUCGUCUUCGGCUGCUGGUGGUGCUGAUAUAGAUAGUGGAAAGGGAGUCGCGAGCUAGAUCCCUUCCAGACGUGUUUCAGAGCUAGAGGAGUUCCUCCCACAGGUAGUUUUUGGGUCAUUCGGUGUUCUUGUACAUACCUAUGUCUGUUGGCUCGCUGGAGCGAAUGGUGUCUGUAUUUUGGACUGUGUAUGUAUAGUGAACCUGGUUUUUAUUAUAUAUAUUUCUUUUAGCAGCUCUCUACCUUGUGGUUGUAGCUUGAUUGUGUUUACAGGUACAGUUAUCGCUUCGUAUACUAGAAAAUUUCUAAGUAUACGGCGAAUCUGUUGGCGUGCCCAAGGAAACGAGUAAUCCGGGGCGUGACAAUUUUUGUUAUUCCCACUUAUAUCCCAAACCAAAUGGGUUAGGGUUGAGUGGAUGGUUGGUUAAAUAGUAUGAUCUAAUAGAUGAAAAUAAUCAAAGAGGUAGAUCUAAUAGUGGAAAAUUUGAUAGCACCAAGCGCUUUAUGCUAUUGAUAGUAUAGUAAUUGGAUUCUCUCUCUCUUUCUCUCUCUCAUUGAUGCUAUUAGAUUUUCAAUCCUUGGAUGAUGGGAUGUGCGAUUAGAAUGACAGUGGUCCCCUCGGAUUGAGUGGAUGGUUGAUUGAAUAGUGCGAUGUCACGCCCUGGAUUACCGGGGAAACCAGAUUACCACGUUUCCUCGGACACGCCAAAAGACCUGUCGUAUACAUAGAAAUUUUUCGUGUAUAUGAAGAGAUAACUAUACCUGUAGAUAGAAUAUAGCUACACCAGAGGUAAAGAGCUGCUAUAACUAAAACAUGUAUAAAAACAUAGAGGGUCCACUAUACAUACAAAAGCCACGGAACAACCUCGCUCCAGCGAGUACAAUGACAUAACGGUAUGUACAUACAAACCCCAAAACUACCUCAGCAUGGUACUCCUCUAACAUAGCAACCAAGGAUGGUAGGGAUCUAGCUCGCGACUCCCUUAUCGCGGUUGAAAUCAGCAACAACAGCAGCAGCGGACGGCCCUGCAAAAAAAAAAGUGGCAACAACAGGGUGUGAGAACUACUACAAAAUAGAAUAGCCCUCAGUGGGUACCGUCACCGACCUUAACGGCCCAUCCACUAAGUCUACAGUACAAGUAAGACAAAAGUAGGUACAGGAUAGUAAGAAAGAUGAAAGAAACUCUAAAACUAUAUGCCACUAUGUUACCGCUAUUCAACCCAGACUCACUGUAGAUACAAAAAUACAUCACUAGCUACAUACUGACCUAAUCUCGAGGGACUGCCAACUGUCCCCAAUUUCGUAAAUUUAUUAUUGUAAACAUCACAUACACCUUUAAUUAUUAAAUUCUUUUCUCCAAUAACACUCUACUCAAAUACUUUGGGUGCUUAUCAAAUUUAAGAAGUAAAACUGUACAAAAGGGUUAAAAAAUCAAGAUGUUUAUCAAGUACAUUUACACUCAAAAAAUUCUCGGUUGGGACUUUCAUGAAAGAACAAUGCAACUGAGGGACGUUUUUUUAGUAGUUUAGAGACCUGUAUGGAAAUUACCCUAGAUGUCUUUUUCUGCAUAAUGUUGCAUGCUAAUGACAUUAUUAAUUUAUUUCGUUGUUUUUUUUAAUCUUUGAUUAGCGGUGGGAGUUCAUGUUGCCAGGUGACAGAAAAGUGAGUUCAAUACUAAAUUUCAGGAAAAAUUGCUCAAUGAUGAUUAUUAUCAAGAUGAACUGGCAAUGAAAAUAAGCAUGCGUAAUAACUUCUAAUGAAGAAAUAUGAUCAGGGUUUCGAGUUUGGGUAUAUGACAAGAGUAGAUGUUAUGAAUUACUUUAGACAAUAAAUAUUUAUGUCAACAGUGCGCUUCUAUGUUUAGCCUUUGUCUAUGUUUAUCGUUUGUUUGUUAAUAACAUGAGUUCAAAGGGGCUUGUGGGAAAUAUCAAGGAAGAUUCUUUUUUUCUUUUUCUUUUUUUUCUCCCUUUUCUUUCCCCUCGUCAUCGGGAGUGAGGUGUCCUCAACCAAUUUAUGCUAUGGAGCCAAAUCCGAGGAAUCCCUUUCCAUGGCUUCCUUUUAUUUUCUCCUAAUAUCUCGACAUGUUGUUUCAUUUUUGCGUUACUAACCGAUUACGAUGUGCAGGUCGACUCGAAGCGACGGAGAAGGUGACAUUUCUAGAGUAUUCAUCUUGCGCCGUCGUGAUGUAUAGAGUUAUGUAGUUCUCCGACACGGUGUACAUAACAUAGGGUACUUAAGUACACUGUUCCCGUUUGGUUCGGGUAUAAGCAAGAACUAGCUAUUACAGGGAUAGGUAUAAGUAUGAGGAUAAGAAAAAUAGUGUUUGGAUGAAAAUUGGAUUGUUCGGGGAUAAGAACAAUUUUAGAUAGUUUUAUAUAAAAAAUGGAGGUGUUGGUGGGAAUAACCGAGAACUACUAUUCUCAGGUAAAAAAUUAGCGUUUGGGUAUAAAGAGAGGAUAAGGGCCUAUUCCUAUCGCUAUCUCCUAACCAAACGCUUUAAUGUACAUCAGAGUAGUAGAUGGGGAAGGGUGCACCAAAUAUACAUGUAUAUACUGCUGGUUAUGUUCUAUCACUUUAUGCGUAUGCUGCGGACUGCUUGCGGUUGCUUGUUUAAUGACACUAGCUAAUAAUACUGACUGCAGUAACUCAUCUUGGGUUUGAGAAGUAUUUCAUUUCCUUUCUAUCGUUUCAUAAUAAAUCAUUAGAGCUAGAGAUGUGUGGGUUCUCUCGCAUUUUGAGCACGUUUGACUAGGACCUCGUUUCUUAUUGGGGAUAAUAAGAAAGAUUUUUAUUUUUAAUGGAGUUGCAGCAUUUUUUGAUGUAUUAUCUCUGUUUUAAAAAACUAAUAUGCAUGGAGAAUCAAAGAAAGGGCGAGGAGGGAGACGAACCGUGAGCGGCAGUGGAAAAAUUAAGGAUAUUUUGUUUAGUUUAUUAAAAUUUUAUGUCGAAUCUGCAAAUUCUAUAAUGUCGGUUAGUUUUUAUAAAAAUAAGAAACAAUGUGCAACGGUGAAAGCUACACGGAUGAUUAAGAUAAAGAAAAACAAUGACAGGCGGAAGGAGAAAAAAAUAUUUAUAUAACGAUCCGAUUUGCUAGUAAUAAUAAUUCGUUGGACCCGAUCUAUCGCAAAAUGUUUAAGCCCAGUUAUUAUUACUAGCGUGUGAGGUCUCAUAUAUUCUAAUUACAAAUUCUCCUGUUUAGUUCAUGACGUUCUCGCCAGAUCCAAACCCAAAUAACAGACAUUACCAAGUCAUUACUAAAUCCGUUGGUGUAGCACUUUGUACCGCAUAUCUCACUUAGCUUUUACACUUCCGGCUGGUAUUUGGCUCUGGUACCAAGUGUAACGACUCAACCCGCUAGUAAUAAUAACUCGUUGGACCUGAACCAUUAGCCCAAAAUACUUAAAUCCAGUUAUUAUUACUAGCGUGUGAGGCCUCAUAUAUUCUAAUCAGAAUUGUUUUUCCAUCUAAUGUGGUCAUAGCUGUGGAACUAGGUCCGGGCCUAAACAAGGCUUGACCCUAUGAGCCAUAUUUGGGCCGGGCUUCGGAUAUUAAAAAUAUAACUUUGGGUUCAGGCCGGGCUUAAAUAUUUAGGCCCGAAAAAAUUUUGGGCCUAUUUGGGCAUGUUCAAGCCCGACCUAAACCCGACCCAAAAUCUUGAUAUAUUAAUUAUCAAAAUAAAAUAUUUAAUUUUAUAUAUAUAUAUAUAUAUAUAUAUUAAUAAUAAUAUAUAUUUAUAUAUAUGAGGAUAUAUUAUAUAUUAACAAAAUAUUUAGUUCCAUAUUACGAUAUAUUAAAUAGUAUUAUUAUAUAUAUAUAUAUAUAUAAUUAAUAGAUAUAUGAGGAUAUAUUAUAUAUUAACAAAAUAUUUAGUUCCAUUUUACGAUAUAUUAAAUAGUAUUAUUAUAUGUAUUUAAUUAUCUAUGAGUAAACAUAUGAUAUAUAUUAUUAUAUAUACCUAAUUAGUUAUGUACAUAACACUUGUUAAAUAUAUAUUAUUUUAAAAUUUUUAAAAAAAUUAAUUAGACGUUAUAUGUACAUAACUUAAGGAUAAUUUUAAAAUUUUAAAAUACCACAAUGCUCUUUUAAAAAUGUAUAUAUGCCCUAAUUAAUUAAACAUUCUACCCACCCUCAUGUGAGAAGUUUCUAUCCUAUUAUUUACUUUGUAGGAUUGUUAGCAUCAGAGUAGGAGUGAAGAUGGCUGAAGCACAUAUUCUAUUUGUCUAAAUCUUAGUUUUAGUUUAUUUAUUUAUUUUGUUUGGUCUUAUUUCAUUGAUGGAUAAUUAUUGGUAGAUAUUAAUGGCAUUAUAUUUGAUGUUAGAUAUUAAUUUCUUUGAUGUGUUCAAACUCCAGUAAAUAUAUAAUCUAAUUUAAAACUUUCAAAACUACAUUCUUAAUGGAGUCAAAAAUUUUCCUGUAAACAAAAGCAAGGAAAUAUGGCCCUAAGGCCAAUUUAUCGCCGUUAGAUGGCGAUCGGAACAAAAUCUCGGUUAAUUUUCUGCGAACGAGUGCAGAAAAGAUUGUGAUAUAACUAGUAUAGAAGGAACGCCGUGUGUUCCUUCCUGGUGACCGGGGCAGGGGUACUUGUGAGAUCCCUGGUGUUUGACUGUGGAAGCUUGUCGACAGCUCUGGAGAGUGUCGGGACAAGCCCGAGUCGCGUUGGCGUCAAAUAGACGUAAAACGGACUCCGUCGGACGCGAGAGCAGCCUUCAGCGAAGAAAAAUCUGCGAAAUAGCAGAUUUUCCUGCUUGUUGUACCGGUACAGCCAUCAUGGCGUACCGGUACACUAUACUGAUGCCGCGUAAUCUGCUCUCGGGUUGCUUCCUGUACCGGUACGCAAUCCCGUGUACCGGUACACCAGGGUAGGUGAGAGGGUGUUUUGGUCUUUUCUCUCCCUCGUUUGUAUCACCAAGCCUCUCUCUCUCUAUUUAGCCUUGUGAGGACAGAGAGAGGGAGUUCCUCUGUUGCUACUUCCUCUCUCUCACUCUCCAACAGAUCUUAGGCUAGGGAGGAGCACGGUUGAGCCGGGGAUUCGCCGACGUCGCACCGCGAGCCGUUCGAGCGAGCGUUUGUUGCCGGGGCAUUGCGAAGAGGCCGGGCGAGGGUGCGUCUUCGCCGUCCUGGACAUCGCGCCGAGGAUUGUCGCUGUNNNNNNNNNNNNNNNNNNNNNNNNNACGGGUGUGUUCACAGUCCCAGGGACGGGUAUGUCUACAGUCCCGAUUGGAUUGGGUCAGAUUUGACAUUUCCUACAGUUGGUUAGUGUAGAGCAUGAUAGUAUAGUGAUUUGUAGCGGUUGAGUUUGUUUCCUGCUUUUCCUACUAUUCUUGCUCCCUCCUGUAGACUUAGUGGGUGGACCGAUGUUGUUUUGGGCGGUACCCACUGAGGACUACUUAUUUUUAUAGUAGUUCUCACGCCCAGUUGUUACCCCUGUUUUGCAGAGCCACAGGUUUCGGCUACUGCGCCUUCCGCAGAUCAGGAUCGAGGCAAAGGCGUCGCGAGUUAGAGCCCUACCCGACGUGCUGAGCUAGAGGUGCCCCUACUGCAGGUAGAUGUUUUGUUCGAGUUUAUGUACAUAGUGGACCUAACUCGCCAGUGCGAGUAGCUUUGUAUAUUGGAUUUGGACUAUGUAUAUGAAACUCAGUUGGUUUAGUUUCUGUUUCUCUAGCAGCUCCCUACUACUAUUCGUAGUAGUGUUUGAUUUACAGGUACAGCUAUCGCUUCGUAUACAGGGGAAAUUCCUUUGUAUACGGCGGAUUUGUCGGCGUGCCCGGGGAAAGUGUAAUCCGGGGCGUGACAGUACUGCAAACUUUCGAAGAAAUUUAGAAUAAGCCAAGUCAUUUAGAUCAAGGUGUGCCUCAAAAUCAGACACACCAUCAGGAUUGUAGGUCAUAGAGAAGGAAACGCCAUGAGGGCGUAAGCCUACAAUGGCGGCUACAUCAAAAAGAGUGGGGGUAAGAGGCCCUCUUUUGAAAAGAAAAACAUUAGAAACAGGGGACCAGAAACAAAGAGCGGCAGCUAGAAGAAGAUUAUCGGCUAUAGGAGGGUGCUGAGAUAAUUGAAUUGCUUCAUAAAUGCCGAUUUCCCGCCAAAAGGCGCCAAAAACGGGUUCUACUCUAUCUAACCAGGCCAAAUAUGCUUCGGAAACGCUUGGCCAAGUUCUAAGACUCUUUCCUCUCGAAGCUGAUGAGUACCAAGAGUGGAGAUGAAUAAUCCUCUUCAAAGGAAGUCCCUUAUCAGAGAAAGGAGAGUCAGUAGGAGAUGGUGCAUCUAUAAGAGAAUGACCUAAUAUGAAUCUAGAUGGAUCUAAGUCAACGAAAGGUUUGAGUACAGUAUAGUCAAGAGAUGGAUGAGAAGGAAGAGGAGGAACCAAAGACAUCGUUCAAAAGAAGAGAAGAGCCGAGAGAGUCGGUUACGAAAAGCAAAGAAGAAUGAAGGAGACUAAGAAGAGGUUUUAGUAAAGAAGACGAAGAAAAGGAACAAGAAUUAGAAGAGACAAAAAGAAUGGAAAGCUUGGGGAAGAAGAAGAGGCCGUUGUAUUGAAUUGACGCAUCGAUUACGAGUCCCAAGAUCGGCUAUAAUUGUAGUAUCCUUAUUUCUUUAUCUUUUCUUUUCCUUUUUCUUUUUAUUUCUUUUGAGUUGGUAAGCAUGCUGGGGAUAAGGAUGCCACGUGCACCUUACCCCCAAGCAUGCUUAUCACCUUAAUACUUGUGCAUAGUUUAUAUAUAAUUCUUGAGCCUCUACGCAUAUAGUUCUUGAGCCGUACGUAGAGGAGGAGCUCAGGUGGUGUGGAGUUUCGUCGACGUCGCGCAGCGGUGCCGUUCGAGCGUGUGUUCGUCGUCGUAGCAUCGCGAGGGGGGCCGGGCGAGGGUCCGAUUCUGCCGUUUUUGUUGUCGCGCCGGAUUGUGAUUAGCGUUUGAGGUGGGUUACAUCGGUUUUACUCCUAAGUUCUUAUUGGUCGACAUGUAUAGAUCUUGAUUUCGGUCAUUAAUUUAGCUCAAAUUCAUGGACUAUAUGUAGAUUGUGAAAUCUGAAUUUUGGAGCAUAUUUUAUAAAUUAAGUAGAUCAUACAUAUUGGACUUGGAAAUUGAAUUAGGAGAAAACCUACGAUUUGGACCUGUCACCAGUUUUAACUACCUGAUUUAGCUCUAGGAGCCGUUAGAAAAUUGUACUGUCGCAGUUAUUCGAGACGAGUACUCCAGGUAGUUUAGAAUGUAUUUACACUCGUGCUCGUCCGCCGAGUGGAUUUUUACAGGGUCGUUCAGGUUGUUUCGGACUGUUGGGUGCCGUCAGAGUUGACGGUGGACCCGUAUCGCCUUUUUGGGCGUCAGAUUGUGCCGAGGGCACUUACCUGUUGGUUGUUAGACCAUUUUGAGUCGAUUACUUGACUUUGGCUAGUUGGAGCCUGUUUGAGCUCGACAGAGAUACGCUGCAUACUCGGUUGGGUAGCGCCCACGAGUGCCACUCCGGAGUCAGGCUUGUGCUUUCGCGUUGGUGUCGCUCAUGCCAGUUGGACUUGCUCUCCACGGACCAGUUGGUGUGGAGGUAGCUGGAUAGUCGCAACGGGGCAGGGACGGGUGUGUUCACAGUCCCAGGGACGGGUAUGUUUAUAGUCCCGAUUGGAUUGGGUCAGAUUGACAUUUUCUACAGUUGGUUAGUGUAGAGCAUGAUAGUGUAGUGAUUGAUAGCGGUAGAGCGUACUUCCUGCUUUUCCUACUAUUCUUGCUCCCUUCUGUAGACUUAGUGGGUGACCGAUGUUGUUUUGGGCGGUACCCACUGAGGACUACUUGUUUUUACAGUAGUUCUCACGCCCAGUUGUUACUCUUGUUUUGCAGAGCCAUAGGUUUCGGCUGCUGCGCCUUCCGCGGAUCAGGAUCGAGGCAAGGGCGUCGCGAGUUAGAGCCCUACCUGACGAGCAGAGUUAGAGGCACCCCUACUGCAGGUAGAUGUUUUGUUUCGAGUUUAUGUACAUAGUUUACCUAACUCGCCAGUGCGAGUAACUCUGUAUUUUGGAUUUGAGCUAUGUAUAUGAAACUCAAUUUGUUUAGCUUUUGUUUUCUCUAGCAGCUCUAUACUACUGUUUGUAGUAUUGUAUGUUUACAGGUACAGCUGUCGCUUCGUGUACAGAGAAAACUCCUUUGUAUACGGCGGGUUUGUCGGCGUGCCCGGGGAACGAGACAUCCGGGGCGUGACAAUAAUGAUGAAUAGACAGCGGCAAUUAAGAUGAUUUAAUUACUGCCGCACACGAGACAAAAGUAGAGAAUACGAUUAGGGCCGUAAAGAAGAGAAUAAACGGCUUAGAUUAAACCGUACAGAAGAUCGUGGCGCAGAAUACGUCAGAGAAUUUGAAUUUGAUUGGACCGGAAAAUACGCCUCGGAUUAAG
rnacentral:lncRNA from 1 species